AUUGAACGCUGGCGGCAGGCCUAACACAUGCAAGUCGAACGGUAACAGGAAGAAGCUUGCUUCUUUGCUGACGAGUGGCGGACGGGUGAGUAAUGUCUGGGAAACUGCCUGAUGGAGGGGGAUAACUACUGGAAACGGUAGCUAAUACCGCAUAACGUCGCAAGACCAAAGAGGGGGACCUUCGGGCCUCUUGCCAUCGGAUGUGCCCAGAUGGGAUUAGCUAGUAGGUGGGGUAACGGCUCACCUAGGCGACGAUCCCUAGCUGGUCUGAGAGGAUGACCGGCCACAAUGGAACGAAGCCCCGGCCAGGACUCCUAGGGGAGGGAGCAGGGGGAAAUUGUGAACAGGGGGCGGAAGCCUGAGGCAGCAAGGCCGGGUGUAGAAAGAAGGCCUGGGGGUUGUAAAGUCCUUUAAGGGGGGAGGAGGGGAGAAAAGUUAAUACCUUGCCUCAUUGACGUUACCCGAAGAAGAAGCACCGGCUAACUCCGUG
rnacentral:rRNA from 1 species